rnacentral:rRNA from 1 species
UGAGGAAUAUUGGUCAAUGGGGGCAACCCUGAACCAGCCAAGUCGCGUGAAGGAUGAAGGUCUUAUGGAUUGUAAACUUCUUUUAUACAGGAAUAAAUUGGGGGACGUGUCCCCUUUUGCAUGUACUGUAUGAAUAAGGAUCGGCUAACUCCGUGCCAGCAGCCGCGGUAAUACGGAGGAUCCGAGCGUUAUCCGGAUUUAUUGGGUUUAAAGGGUGCGCAGGCGGGAUGUUAAGUCGGCGGUGAAAUUUUGCAGCUCAACUGUAAAAGUGCCUUCGAUACUGGCCUCCUUGAGUGUGGAUGAAGUAGGCGGAAUUUGUGGUGUAGCGGUGAAAUGCUUAGAUAUCACGAAGAACUCCGAUUGCGAAGGCAGCUUACCGGGGUACAACUGACGCUGAUGCACGAAAGUGUGGGUAUCAAACA